GAUGAACGCUGGCGGCGUGCCUAAUACAUGCAAGUCGAGCGAACAGACGCGGUGCUUGCUCCUCUGACGUUGACGGCGGGAGGGUGAGUAACACGUCGAUCACCUACCUCUAAGACUGCAAUAACUUCGGGAAACCGGUGCUAAUACCGGGUCAUCUAUUCAACCUCAUGGUUCAAUAGUUAAAUACGGUUUUGAUGUCCCCUCUAGCUAGCUCCUCGUCGCUGUGGCUAGUUGGUACGGUAACGGCUUACCAAUGCAACGAUGCGUAGCCGACCGGAGAGGGGGAUCGGCCACACUGGAACUGAGAGACGGUCCAGACUCCUACGGGAGGCAGCAGUAGGGAAGGGUGCGCGAUGGGCGAAAGCCUGACGGAGCAACGGCGCGCGAGUGAAGAAGGGCUGCGUACCGGAAAACGCUGUUAGGGGGGAAGACCAAAUGUGAAAGUAACGAUGCACGUCGUGACGGUACCAAAACAGAAAGCCACGGCUAACUACGUG
rnacentral:rRNA from 1 species